UACAGAGGUCCCGAGCGUUGUUCGGAUUCAUUGGGCGUAAAGGGUGCGUAGGCGGCGGGGUAAGUCUGAUGUGAAAUCCCGGGGCUCAACCCUGGAACUGCAUUGGAUACUGCCGUGCUUGAGGACUGGAGAGGAGACUGGAAUUUACGGUGUAGCGGUGAAAUGCGUAGAUAUCGUAAGGAAGACCAGUGGCGAAGGCGGGUCUCUGGACAGUUCCUGACGCUGAGGCACGAAGGCCAGGGGAGCAAACGGG
rnacentral:rRNA from 1 species